GACGAACGCUGGCGGCGUGCUUAACACAUGCAAGUCGAACGGAAAGGCCCUGCUUUUGUGGGGUGCUCGAGUGGCGAACGGGUGAGUAACGCGUGAGUAACCUGCCCUUGACUUUGGGAUAACUUCAGGAAACUGGGGCUAAUACCGGAUAGGAGCUCCUGCUGCAUGGUGGGGGUUGGAAAGUUUCGGCGGUUGGGGAUGGACUCGCGGCUUAUCAGCUUGUUGGUGGGGUAGUGGCUUACCAAGGCUUUGACGGGUAGCCGGCCUGAGAGGGUGACCGGCCACAUUGGGACUGAGAUACGGCCCAGACUCCUACGGGAGGCAGCAGUGGGGAAUAUUGCACAAUGGGCGGAAGCCUGAUGCAGCAACGCCGCGUGCGGGAUGACGGCCUUCGGGUUGCAAACCGCUUUCGCCUGUGACGAAGCGUGAGUGACGGUAAUGGGUAAAGAAGCACCGGCUAACUACGUG
rnacentral:rRNA from 1 species